rnacentral:rRNA from 1 species
UACGUAGGGUGCAAGCGUUGUCCGGAAUUAUUGGGCGUAAGAGCUCGUAGGUGGCCUGUCGCGUCGGCUGUGAAACUCGGGGCUCAACUCCGAGCUUGCAGUCGAUACGGGCAGGCUAGAGUUCGGCAGGGGAGACUGGAAUUCCUGGUGUAGCGGUGAAAUGCGCAGAUAUCAGGAGGAACACCGGUGGCGAAGGCGGGUCUCUGGGCCGAUACUGACGCUGAGGAGCGAAAGCGUGGGGAGCGAACAGG